GAAUUCUCAACCAAUACUGGUUGGAGUUGGGGGUUGCUGGUAGUCAGCUCUCCUGAAAUUGAUUAAUGCAAAGUGCAUGCAAAUGGCCUUUUGAUGUGAUAAUGAUCAUCAUGGGCUGGCAUGUUCUAGCUAAGCUUUAGUUACUAGUCUCUGACGAACACAAAGCUAUUGAUC
rnacentral:misc_RNA from 1 species